rnacentral:lncRNA from 1 species
CUUGGUUCUAUAUUUCAAAUUCUCAGCACCAAGCCAGGAAUCAGACCCGUGUGGUUCCUCUUUCCUCCUGGAGGAAGGCGCUAUGUGGAUUUCAAGGACUGUGUGUUGUCAGCCACUUUCUGCUAGCUUGGAGCAAAUGUGUGGACAUUCUGUUUUGGAGACAAGCUGUUGAUGGAGUCAAAGAACUUAGGACGAAGGCAGAUCCUUUACUAUCUGAGCCACCAGGGAAACCCCUUGGAAAGGAAUCAUGCUGUAAAAAUUAAGCACUACAAUAGCCUUGAAAAUCAAAGGCCUGGCAACCACUCGAGCGAGCAGAAUGAGACUGGAGCACGUUCAAAACCACAUUAUCAGAGAAUCUGCCUGGUGAUUUUCUGGACAAGCCUACUAGCAAGGCUAUCUUUAUUGACCUAACAUGGAGCUCAACAUCUGAGGCCCUAGAAAACAGGUACGGCUUGGUUGAUUUAAUAUUCUCCUCUGUAUCCUUACCUAUCUG